GCAUAGGUGGUUCAGUGGUAGAAUGCUCGCUCGCCACGCAGGGGCCUGGGAUCGAUUCUCGGCCGAUGCG
rnacentral:tRNA from 1 species